rnacentral:lncRNA from 1 species
CGUCAAGCAGCCUUCACUAAAGAAAAUAGAGGAAAUGGAAGAUUUAACUGUAUCAUGACCUGCAUCGGAAUCUACACAGCCUUCGGCAGGAAACCUUCAGCAACAUGACCGGGACCACAGUAAGGGCUACUGGCAUCUUUUCUCAUCAAAAUGAGUCCACCGGCGAUUCUCCUCUCCUCAUAGAGUUGUUCCGAGAACGAGAUUUGAAGGAAAGAACAUUUCUGGAAACUGGUAUUGCAGACCUCCCGGGCACCAUUUAAUUCUUUCUUCCCUUCAAGGAAUGAAUCAAUUCCUACCUUCUCGAUGAAGCCUUUCUGCUCAGCUCAUUUACGUUUCCCCAUGUCCUCGUCAGCCCGAAUCCCAUGUAUUGCUCACUUGGAACUUAUUUCCUGCUGGAUAUGGUUAGUGGUCUUAAGAGUACAUCUCUUUUCUUUUCAGCUACCUUAUGAGAUCCUAAAUGGCAAGAAGCAACACUCCCGCCCUCCCUCCCUCUUUUGCAACCCCCAAUGGACCUAGCUUAGGGCUCUGCACCAGUGGCCUGGGUUACCAUGCAAGGGACAAUGGCAGGGCAAAGUGAUGCUAAGAUCUUAGGUUCUAGCAUCACCCAGAGGAAGCCCUGGGGAAUAGACAUUAAAAGGAAAUAGUGCACCCUGGUGGAGGUUAGACAGCCAGCUGGGCUCACGGGUGAGUGAGAAGCACCACUCCAAGCAUUCAACUUAAGGGAGGAAUGAAAGGAGUCAAGGGAGCAGUUGGUCCCUCUGUGGUUGUGUAAAUGACUAAUUCUCCCAUUGUGGUAGAUUGUCCUAACCCCCAUUCACCUUAGCACCAUGGCCCGUUUCUAAGCUUCUCUGAUUAAAGGAAUGACGUCUGUACAGGGUAUUUUUGGUCUUAAUAAUAUCCAUCCCUCACACAUGCAUGCCCGCCAGCUUCUCUUGCCAUCUUUGGAGCGUUUCUGAGAGAGUAUUAAUACCAGUUGUGGGAAAGCAAGAACAUCACUCACAAACUUUGUUUGUGUGACUGAAUUUCAGUUUGGGGUGGCUGCCUGUUAACUUAUAAGAAACUUCCUUAUAUCUUAAUCAAAAGCUCAUCCAUCCCAUGUUUGGGGUACAGAUUUCAUCACCCAGAUCACAAAG